rnacentral:rRNA from 1 species
GGGGAAUAUUGGACAAUGGGCGAAAGCCUGAUCCAGCCAUGCCGCGUGUGUGAAGAAGGCCUUUUGGUUGUAAAGCACUUUAAGUGGGGAGGAAAAGCUUGUGGUUAAUACCCAUAAGCCCUGACGUUACCCACAGAAUAAGCACCGGCUAACUCUGUGCCAGCAGCCGCGGUAAUACAGAGGGUGCAAGCGUUAAUCGGAAUUACUGGGCGUAAAGCGCGCGUAGGUGGUUAUUUAAGUCAGAUGUGAAAGCCCCGGGCUUAACCUGGGAACUGCAUCUGAUACUGGAUAACUAGAGUAGGUGAGAGGGGAGUAGAAUUCCAGGUGUAGCGGUGAAAUGCGUAGAGAUCUGGAGGAAUACCGAUGGCGAAGGCAGCUCCCUGGCAUCAUACUGACACUGAGGUGCGAAAGCGUGGGUAGCAAACAGGAUUAGAUACCCUGGUAGUCCACGCCGUAAACGAUGUCUACCAGUCGUUGGGUCUUUUAAAGACUUAAUGACGCAGUUAACGCAAUAAGUAGACCGCCUGGGGAGUACGGCCGCAAGGUUA